GGAGUCUAGCAUGUGCGCGAGUCAUUGGGACUAGCGAAACCUAAAGGCGAAAUGAAAGUGAAGGCGCGCCACGCGCGCCGAGGGAGGAUGGGCCGCGCCACGGCGCGGCUCCGCACUCCCGGGGCGUUUCGUUCUCAUCGCGAGAUGAGGCGCACCCAGAGCGUACACGCUGGGACCCGAAAGAUGGUGAACUAUGCCUGGUCAGGACGAAGUCAGGGGAAACCCUGAUGGAGGUCCGUAGCGAUUCUGACGUGCAAAUCGAUCGUCGGAACUGGGUAUAGGGGCGAAAGACUAAUCGAACCAUCUAGUAGCUGGUUCCCUCCGAAGUUUCCCUCAGGAUAGCUGGCGCUCGCUUUGCGAGUCUCAUCCGGUAAAGCGAAUGAUUAGAGGCAUUGGGGUCGAAACGGCCUCAACCUAUUCUCAAACUUUAAAUGGGUGAGAUCUCCGGCUUGCUUAAAUCUUGAAGCCGCGAGAAUCUUACAGAGGAUCAGAGUGCCAAGUGGGCCAUUUUUGGUAAGCAGAACUGGCGCUGUGGGAUGAACCAAACGCAGAGUUAAAGCGCCUAAAUCGACGCUUAUGGGAUACCAUGAAAGGCGUUGGUAACUUAAGACAGCAGGACGGUGGCCAUGGAA
rnacentral:rRNA from 1 species